CGCCUGAAACCCCGAGGAGGCCGCGCGUGUGCAUGUGCGCCUGCAGAUCCUGAAGACCCGCCAGCAGCCUGGCACAUCUGGGGCUGCCGACCAUGCAUAUUCAUGCCAGAGAGCAGGAAAACCCAGAAAAGAGUGGUGCUUCCUCUGCCCUCCUGACGCUCAUCUCCGUCAUUGCCCUGAGGACGUCUCCUUUCCCCGUUCCUGGUGGUAGGGCGCUGGGAGGCGGACAUCAGACUAGGCUGCCCCACGGCCUCCCCGCCUCGGCCCUGCAGUCCAGCCAGGGGCACUUUUCUGGGCUGAACUGUGUUCCUCCCAGUCCACUCGUUCAAAGGCCCAGCCCCACACCACCUCCGAAUGUGACUGUAUUUCCAGACUCCACCUUCAAAGAGUAAAAUCGUGAGCAUUUAAAAGCAAAAAAGUCAAAAACAAAGAGGAGAGGAUAGCGCUACGGUAUGUAUGUAUGUCAGACGAUAAAGGAUUACAGUCACACGUGCUGACUGCCGGGCAGCUCGGGAUCUGCAGGAACCUCAUCUGACAGCUGUCUGUGCCCGGGGCCCACUGUGGGCGGCGGUGGAGCCUCUGCGUUACGGCUGUGAGUUUGCUUUCCCCAUUUCAUUCACUCGCCAGGUUCCAAGAGGAGGAUUAUUUCCCACGUUGCACAUAUACUUUCUUAAUGCCAUUUUCUUUUUUAGUUCAUAAUUUUAACCACUGUAUCCCAAAUCCUCCAGAGCCAGGUUAUCUGUACUUCAUUUCAGGUGUCAGUUGCCGUAUCAUAAAACACCCAAAUCUUAGCAGCUUGACGCCACAACCAUUUUAUUAUUUGUUCAUGUUUCUCUGCAUCAGAAGUUUGGGCAGGGCUCAGUGCGGAUGGUUCCUCUCUGCUCUGUGGUGCCUGUGACCUCAGCUGGAAUGGCUUAAAAGCUGAGAGCUGGCUGGGCCUCUCUCUUAUAGUAUCACCUGGAGUGAUUCAAGCGGGGUUUCAGAAUCAAAGAUGGGCUCACUCCCAAUUUCGGAGCACUUAGGUUCUCCCCCUGGUGGCCUCAUCACUCAGUAAUUUAGUCUGACAUUUGCAGGGCGGCUGGUUUCCAAGAGUGAAAGCAGGUGCUACAGACUCUAGAGACAUAGGCUUGGAAUUCUCAGAAUGUCAUUUCUGCAUUCUAUUAAUCAAUGCAAGUCACAAGCCAGACCAGUUCACCGGAUGGGUACACAAACACUGCAUCUUGAUGAGAAAACGAGCAUUUGCGCACUGACAUAGAAGGCAUACUUGGCAGCCAGCUUUGGAGACAAUCUACUGCAGCUUUCCAAGAGGGAAACUGAUAUGCUAAGCACCACUCAUGAGAGAACGCUAAGACGCCUCCAUCUUCCACAGAGAAAAAUCUAAAGGUAUCUAAUCCAAAGAUGGACUCUCUUCAUGAGUUUCUACUGCUGAGAGGAGGAGGUGCCAUAAGCAUUAGGGUAAAAGUAAAGGUGAAAAGAGCUGGGUAGAUGUUGUAAUAGAAUCAUUUUUAAUAUAAGCAUUUCUUAUCUAGUCAGCUUUUCUGAACUAGGCUUUAGAUGAUCAAUAGUCUGCUUUUCAGCUAUGGAUCAGUACUCAGAUUAUUUUUAACUUUGUGUCAGUAUUCUCUAAGUUACUUACUGGACUCUAGAACUAAGCAGAAUUAGCAUUUUUUGAUGUCUUAUCCCACCUGUUAAGGUAACUUUUCUCUAUAGUAUGUUACAUUUUACUAACAGUUUGUAAUUACUUAAAAUGCUUAAAUGGCAGAGGGGAGUCUUGAGUCUUGUCUUCAGCAAGGAUAUUAGUCACUAGCCCUCUCAAAAAUACUUCUUUGGAUUAAAGGGUCAAUUCAACAAGGAGAUAUAACAUUUGUAAAUGUUUAUGCACAUAAUAUAGCAGCACCUAAAUGUACAAAGCAAAUAUUAACAUACCUAAGGAGAGAAACAGACAGCAGCAGUAUGAUAACAGUAGGGGAUUUUAAUAACCCAUUUAGAUCAAUAGAAAUCACUCAGGCAGAAAAUCAAACAAAUGCCUUAAAUGACAAAUUAGACAAGAUGGACUUAACAGAAAUAAAGCAUUCCACCAACAGCAACACAAAAUGCAUUUUUUUUCCCAGUGUGCAUGGAACAUUCUCUAGGAUAGAUCAUGUUUUAGGCCACAAAACAGUCUUAACAAAUUUAAGAAGACUGAAAUCAUAUCAGCCAUAUUUUUUCACCAUGGUGCUAUGAAAGUAGAAAUCAAUUACAAGAUUAAAAUCAGAAAAUUCACAAAUAUGUGGCAAUUAAACAAGCUACCAAACAAAUCAAUAGGUCAACAGAGAAAUCAUAAAAACCUUGAGACAAGUGAAAAUGGAAAUAAAAUGUACAAAAACCUAUGGGAUGAAGCAAAAGCAGUUCUAAGAAGAAAGGUUGUAGUGACAGGUGUAUACUUCAUGAAACAAGAAAAUCUCAAAUAAACAACCUAACUAUAUCUCAAGGAAUUAAAAAGAACAAACAAAGGUUAAUAAAAAGAAGGAAAUAACAAAGAUCAGAGCAGAAACAAAUGAGAUAGAGUCUAAGAAGACAAUAGAAAAUACCAGUGAAACCAGGAGAUGGCCUUUGGUUGACAAAUCUUUAGUGAGACUUACCAAGAGAAAAAGAGAAAGGACUGAAAGAAAUUAAAGAGGAGACAUUACAACUGAUGCCACAGAAAUACAAACAUUCAUGAAACUACUGUGAACAACUGUAUGCCAACAACCUGAACAACCUAGAAGAAAUAGCUACAUUCCUGGAAAUGUACCAUAUUCUAAGACAGAAUCACGAGGAAUAGGAAGUCUGAACAGACCAAUUGUUAGUAAGGCGACUGAAUCAGUAAAACCUUCCAAAAAAUGAAAGUUUCAAGUGGCUUCAUUGGUGAAUUCUAACCAACUUUCAAAGAUGAAUAAAUACUAUACCAAAAUCAUAUUAGGACAUCACAAGGAAAGAAAAUUACAGGGCAAUAUCCCUGGUAACCAUAGAUGCAGAAAUCCUCAACAAAAUAUUAGUAAACCAAAUUCAACCAUAUAUUAAAAGGAUCAUACAUCAUGAUCAAGUGGGAUUUAUUCCAAGGCUGCAGGGAUGGUUUAACAUAUUCAAAACAAGGUGAUGCACCACAAUAGCAAAAUGAAAAAUAAAAAUUAUAUUAUCAUCUCAAUAGAUACAGAAAAAUUAUGUGACAAAUUUCUAAUAUUCAUUUAUGAUAAAAAACUCAACAACAUGAGUAUGGAGGGAAUUCACCUGAACAUAAUAGAGACCAUAUAUAGAGUCCGUAACUAACAUCACACUCAGAGAUGAAAAGCUGAAAACUUUUCCUUUAAGAUUAGAAACAAGAUGAGGAUGCUCACUGUUGUCCCUUUUAUUAAACACAGUAUUAGAAGGCAAGAGAAAGAAAAGGCAUCCAAAUUAGAAAGAAGUAAAACUGUCACUAUUUGCAAAUGACAUGACAGUA